rnacentral:lncRNA from 1 species
AAUUUCUAAGUGACAUAUGUAAACUCUUAUCUAAUUAAAUGACUUUCUUUUGCCAGUGUUUAUGUGCUGAGUGCUUGGAAAAAAAUAAACAUCUUUGUUUAAGUAUUAUUAUCCAUGGUGAGGUUUAACAACAAACGUUAUGGCUCCAUCCAUAUCUCACAAUGGGAUACUUUCAAAUAUCGGUGUUCUCUCUCAAGAUGCUAUUAUCUUCUUGACUUCUUAUGAAAGUAAAUGCCAAUCAAAUCAUCCAAACUUUAAAAAUAACAAGCUAUUAUGUUUGCUAUUAUUCUCUUACUUGGUGAGUGUGAGUGAAGGGAAACCUUUAGUGUGUUAUACUUUGAAUAAGUAAGUUCUUCGUGAUUGUUGAUUCAUAUUCAAAUGAUUCAAAGAUCAUAUACUACAUUAGUUACACGAGAAAAUAGCAUAGCCAAAUAAAAAGAUGAUCUGCUUCGGUGAAAACAAUGAAAAGCAAGUUAUGGAAUCAGAUGAAGUCAUGUAUAGCAUAAUAUUGUGUAUAUACAUAUGGUAUAUGGCUUAUGAAAAUACAGGGUUAUUUCCUAUAUCUUUAUGCUGAUACCAUCAAUGAAGGGGUCAAUAAACAACUGUGUUCAUAUAUAAAACUUAUAUGGCUUCCGUGUUUAGGCACAUUUUCUCAUACAAACUCUUUCACUGCACUUCAAAAAAAAGCAGUAGCCUCUGGAAGUUAGAUACAAAUUUGUUGCUUUAAAUAUAGUUUUAUGUCUUUUANNNNNNNNNNNNNNNNNNNNNNNNNNNNNNNNNNNNNNNNNNNNNACUCGUAAACUGACUGUUGGUGUUCAAUUUUCAGUUAUGAAUUUUUUUCUGGAAAUCAAGGUUUAUAAUAAAGUGAACUCAUCAAUAAGUUAAAACACACACAUAAUUCAUUAUUUUACCAUGUGUUUAUUCUUCAAUGUAUGGACAAGUAGAACAUCAGAUUAUUUGAUAACAAUUGCUACUGCCAUCUAGCUUGCAAUAUAAAUAUUAACUUCACAUUGUCAGAUAGCUUUCCCUCAUCUUUCCACAGAAACUAUUCUAGCUUACUAUUGCUUUUCAAGAAACUCUCAAAGUUAUGUUCUACUUUUAUGCU